CCCACCGCAGGGUUGGCCACCUUGAGAAGCUGCGAAGAUGGCGGAGUAAGGCGUGCCGCUGCAAACUGGCCUCUGGGCCGGGGGCGAGCAGCCCCCGGGAGGCCGAGUGCAUCUGUUGGACCGUGCGAGGAGAAGAAAAAAAAUAUCGGCCAGAGGAGAGGAACUAACCGAACAUUCUUCCUCCCUACCUUAUAGAGGGGAGUGGUCAUCUACACUAAAGCAAAGUGUUAGGCGCGUCCGUGCGAAGAGACCACCAAACAGGCUUUGUGUUCCUUAUCACAGGAAGAAAAUUUUCCUUGACCUUUAGGUGCUUUUAUAUUCAUCUCAAAAACAAAAUUCUGAACUCAGGACUUGGCAAACCACCGCUGAAACUUCACUUCUACACAGAGGCUUUCUUUCCCAGAAACCCAGACCAGGCAGAAGUGACCUCUCAAGGCAGCCAGGGCAGCAUGGGUAGAAUACAGAUGGAAACCAACGGGAAUCCCACAAGAACCACAGAAUAAAAGGUUCCAAAGCUGGACUGUACUGCUGCCAUCUCGGCUCACUGCAACCUCCCUGCCUGAUUCUCCUGCCUCAGCCUGCCGAGUGCCUGCGAUUGCAGGCACGCGCCGCCACACUUGACAGGUUUUCAUAUUUUUUUGGUGGAGACGGGGUUUCGCUGUGUUGGCUGGGCUGGUCUCCAGCUCCUAACCGCGAGUGAUCCACCAGCCUCGGCCUCCCAGGGUGCCGGGAUUGCAGACGGAGUCUCGUCUCGUUCACUCAGUGCUCAAUGGUGCCCAGGCUGGAGUGCAGUGGCAUGAUCUUGGCUCGCUACAACCUCCACCUCCCAGCCGCCUGCCUUGGCCUCCCAAAGUGCCGAGAUUACAGCCUCUGCCCAGCCGCCACCCCGUCUGGGAAGUGAGGAGCGUCUCUGCCUGGCCACCCAUCGUCUGGGAUGUGAGGAGCCCCUCUGCCUGGCUGCCCAGUCUGGAAAGUGAGGAGCGUCUCUGCCCGCCCGCCAUCCCAUCUAGGAAGUGAGGAGCGCCUCUUCCCGGCCGCCAUCCCAUCUAGGAAGUGAGGAGCGUCUCUGCCCGGCCUCCCAUGGUCUGAGAUGUGGGGAACGCCUCUGCCCUGCCGCCCCGUCUGGGAUGUGAGGAGCGCCUCUGCCCGGCCGCGACCCUGCCUGGGAGGUGAGGAGCGUCUCUGCCCGGCUGCCCCAUCUUGAGAAGUGAGGAGACCCUCCGCCCGGCAGCCUCCCUGUCUGAGAAGUGAGGAGCCCCUCCGCCCGGCAGCCACCCCAUCUGGGAAGUGAGGAGCGUCUCCGCCCGGCAGCCACCCUGUCGGGGAGGGAGGUGGGGGGUCAGCCCCCCGCCCAGCCAGCCGCCCCGUCCAGGAGGGAGGUGGGGGGGUCAGCCCCCCGCCCGGCCAGCCGCCCCGUCCGGGAGGGAGGUGGGGUGGUCCAGCCCCCCGCCCGGCCAGCCGUCCCGUCCUGGAGGGAGGUGGGGGGGUCAGCCCCCCGCCCGGCCAGCCGCCCCGUCCGCGAGGUGAUGGGCGCCUCUGCCCGGCCGCCCCUACUGGGAAGUGAGGAGCCCCUCUGCCCGGCCACCACCCUGUCUGGGAGGUGUACCCAACAGCUCAUUGAGAAUGGGCCAUGAUGACAAUGGCAGUUUUGUGGAAUAGAAAAGGGGGAAAGGUGGGGAAAAGAUUGAGAAAUCGGAUGGCUGCUGUGUCUGUGUAGAAAGAAGUAGACAUGGGAGACUUUUCAUUUUGUUCUGUACUAAGAAAAAUUCUUCUGCCUUGGGAUCCUGUUGAUCUAUGACCUUACCCCCAAUCCUGUGCUCUCUGAAACAUGUGCUGUGUCCACUCAGGGUUAAAUGGAUUAAGGGCGGUGCAAGAUGUGCUUUGUUAAACAGAUGCUUGAAGGCAGCAUGCUCCUUAAGAGUCAUCACCACUCCCUAAUCUCAAGUACCCAGGGACACAAACACUGCGGAAGGCCGCAGGGUCCUCUGCCUAGGAAAACCAGAGACCUUUGUUCACUUGUUUAUCUGCUGACCUUCCCUCCACUAUUGUCCUAUGACCCUGCCAAAUCCCCCUCUGCGAGAAACACCCAAG
rnacentral:lncRNA from 1 species